UAAAAAUUACAAAAAUACACAACUUAUGUUUCCAAUAUUACAAAAAAUCCCAACUCCCUAAAUAUAUUACAAAAAUUCCAACAUAUACGCAGAAUGCUAUAAAUAUGUCGGCUAUGUUAUGUAUAUUAAUAGGGAGAGUGAUACAAGUACGACCACGAAGAUGGACGCAUAUGAGAAUGUAAUGAACCCGAGGCUUGGAGUGUGCGAGUGAAGGACUUAAAACACACCAAACCGACCCUAAUCUCACACUUGGAGUAUAAAGAGGAGCCUUGGAAUACAACAAGGCAGCCCACAAAUACACUUGAAGGGAGCCUAGCUCUUAAAAGGGCAUUUUGGAUAUUUUGUAUUCUAUUUGUAACCUAGUAUAAAUAGAACAUUGUAGGGCUUUUAGACUUAGAUUAUUCAUGAUGUUUAAGUCUUGAAACAUAAAGAAACGCAAGUCUUCUUAAGAUUAUACCUUCAUUAAGUCUAUCUAACUAUCCCUUUACUUUUAUUGUAAUCUUGUAGUAGUUUGUAUUCUUGUAACCGUUUCUAUCUCUUGUUAGUAAAACUGUGUGUUGUUCCUAUCUUGUUAUUGUUAUCCAUAUCGCCAUAUUGUUUUUAUUUUGGUGUAUUUUACACCUUCAAUAUCUUGUUGUUGUUGUAUUUUCAUUGUUGUUGUGGUGAAUCUGAGAGUGGUCACCAAACGGGUCCUCAGCUCUUAAAACUUGUGGACUGAUUUGGUGUUUAUUUCAUGUUUUCCUUUUUCUUCUUGUAUCAUUUGGUAUCAAAUCAUGGCUAGAUCUUGUUCCUACAAGAUCACUCUUGGGCUUGCUUGAUUAGAAAAUUUUAAAAAAAAAUUAUUGAAAAGCUGGAAAAAGAAAAAAGUGCAAUCUACCCAUGUUGUGUUCUUGACCGAGAAUUGUGUUCUUAUUGCAUCUUGGUCGAGAUUUUUUUUUGUCUUGAGUUUUUCUAGUGUUAGCUUUGUUCUUUACUAACACUUGAGUCCAUAUCUAAGUUUGAGCUUUGUUGUUGUUGUCGUGAACAAGUAAGACCGUGUGGUAGAUAUUAUUGUUGAAAAACUUGACUUGGCCAUGUGUGUGGUUGUUAUUGUUGAAAGGAGUGUUGUUUCUGUAGUUCUUGGUGAAUGUUGUUGUGUUCUUGAAGUUCUUCACAACCUUCAUCUCUUGUUAAAACUGAAGACUCAACACUAAAGAGACUUGGCCGUUUGUUGUUGUGGAUUGGAGUUGGCCGUUGGAAUUAUUGUUGUUCUUGAAGAUUGUUGUUAUUAUUUUCGGUGUGGUUGUUGUUGUUCUUGAAAUUCUUCACCUUCCUUCAUAUAUUGUUAGAACAUAAGGUGAGUGCUAGAUCCUAAAAGGUGAAGGAAAAAGGUGUACGUACUUGUUAGUCUUGAAAGACCCCCAACCACCAAAAGACUUUAUAUCACUUCUCAACUACUUUUUCAUGAUUUAAGGACCCAUGUUUUAAGGAGAAGCACAAGAAAAAGUCAAGUCUUGAAAAUUGAAAAAGGCUCCAAGACUUAUUUUUUUGCCUAAAACAAAUUCCACCAAUCCAAAUUAAUUUUUGACCAAGACUUGAACAUUUGAGAAUAACUACUUGAUAAAACCGAACUAAUACGUGGCCAUCACAUCAUCAUUGCUACUGUUCACGCAAUAUUUUUGAGCUCAAAUUUUAUAUUUCUUAGUUUCAUUUUGUUGUCUCUUAGUUUCGUUUAAUUGAUCCUAGUACUAAUUAACAAGCUAGUAAACUUCUACUAGGUUGUCACUUAGUUCUUGAAUCUGUUGUCCGUGUCUACGUUUUUUUGUGUUUUUUCUCUUUUGUUAAUUCGUUGUAUCUUGUUGGUUCAAGUCCGUAAGCAAAAAAUUUUUGAGUCAACUCAAACAAAAAUCUAUUUCGGACCAAGGUAGACUCCUCCCUCAAUCACUCAUAAAGUACAAGCUGGCUUUCAACACUUGUGAAAUCAAGUGUGAGGUAAAAAUUGAGAGUGAGAGUGAGUUGAGGCAUUUUUGAGCCAACAAGUUUGUUUGUUUUGUUGUUCGUUAUUGUAUUUUCUUAGGUACCAUGGCUGCCACCAAUCUCGAUGCCACGUUUGAUCGCAUCACCGACAAUAUUAAAGACAUGAAAUGGCACGUUGAAAGGCUACGCCAAUUGGUAUCCACACUUAUCCCAAAAAAUCUAAAAUCUAAGGUCCAAACACCUUGUGGUGAGAGCUUCCUAAAGGAAGUUACUGCCCAAACUUGUGAAGGACUUUCACACCAAGGUAAAGACGAACGUACUCAUGAACAUCAAGGUAAAAUAGCUAUCUCUUACACUUUGGUACAUGUGGAUGAUAAACGUGUGACUAAUAAGCCGUUGAGUGUGAGUAGUAUCUUACCUACGUAUGAGUAUAUUAAUUCCUUACCACUUGUGGAUGAUGUACAUGUUGUGCGAGUGGAUACACUAGUUGAUCCUAUAGAUGACCGGAUCGACUCUUCUAGUAAGAUCGAUUUGUGUCCACUUAGUGUUAAAGCUAUUGUGUUGAAUGAAAGUACAUCGUCGAGUGAAAUUUGUGUAGACCAAAUUAUGUGUAAAACUUGCCCACCACUUGAGAAUAUGUGUGAUAUGAUUAAUGAGUCUCAAAUGAGUGAAGAAUUUAAAAAUGUUGGUCAAGAAAAAAGAAGUAAACCCGUGAGCCUAUGUUGUUGUAAAGAUUCUAAUGUUUUCUUGGCUCAUAGGGUUAAUCAUGUGCUUGACAUAUCUUUUAAACUUGAUAAUGAUUCCUUAGAGAGUGAAAGUUCCAAAUCUGUCCGCGGGUUAGAUCAUUCACUCUUUAGGUACAAUGUCUUGUUUGAAGGUAGUUUAAACACUCCUAAUAGGCCUAGUGGUGAAAAUGAUGGUAUAGCUUGCCUUAGAAGCUAUAGCCUAUAUGCUAACCCACUAUGGUGUGACAACAUUCCUCCUAAAGAUAGAAAUCCCUUCUUGGAAGAUGAGAGUAAUCUUAAGGGUAAGGAAUGUGUGGUCUUGGAAAUUACUUCUUUUUCUCCUUUGUGUGGCUUUUCCGAGGACACCAUAGUAGAAGUAGAAUUGAAUGCCACCUUUCUCUACUCUCUCUUUACUUGUGAUGAUAUGUAUGACAAUGUAGAGAGUAGGCCGUGUGGUUAUGGUAAAGACUACGGGAAACGGGUGUGUUGUUUUGACCCGUGUCUAUGGCCACUCUUCCCAUUUGAUCCCGGUGCCAUGUUAGGGUGGGGAAGAUUUACUCUCGGCUUAGGUGCGUUUCUUUUGGGUGCUUAUCAUAGCCAAGUCCUUGGUGAAUUUAUCGAUGGAUUCAUAAUGUUUAACACUAAAGACUCUUGGUUAUAUGUCAAAUAUGAACCACCUUGGCAUGUCGAGACUUGUUGUUGGCCGAGACUUGAACUCAAAGGGUCCUCGNNNNNNNNNNNNNNNNNNNNNNNNNNNNNNNNNNNNNNNNNNNNNNNNNNNNNNNNNNNNNNCUAACCCUCAUGCCAUGAGGAAGUGUGCUUGUUUGUCUCUCUUUGAUUUUACAAGGCAUGGAUUCGAGGUCAAAUCCUUUUUAAGGAGGGGAGGAUGAUACAAGUACGACUACGAAGAUGGACGCAUGUGAGAAUGUAAUGAACCCGGGGCUUGGAUUGUGCAAGUGAAGGACUUAAAACACACCAAACCGACCCUGAUCUCACACUUAGAGUGUAAAGAGGAGCCUUGAAACACAACAAGGCAGCCCCGUAAAUACACUUGAAGGGAGCCUAGCUCUUAAAAGGGCAUUUUGGACAUUUUAUAUUUUAUUUGUAACCUAGUAUAAAUAGAACAUUGUAGGGCUUUUAGACUUAGAUUAUUCAUGAUGUUUAAGUCUUGAAACAUAAAGAAACGCAAGUCCUCUCUCCUUAAGGCACCAAAACCGAAAUUAGGCAUAGAGAGUGUGGAAUCACUCUUGUUGAUCUCAUGACUUGAAAACGUGAUGUUUGGGAGGUAGAUUCCGACCUUAUGUCUUCGUAAGAGAUUGGUGAACGUUGUGUGUAGUGUUAAGGGUCCAAGAGUGAAAUAUGCUCUUGGGUUCUUAAGAUUAUACCUUCAUUAAGUCUAUCUAACUAUCCCUUUACUUUUAUUGUAAUCUUGUAGUAGUUUGUGUUCUUGUAACCAUUUCUAUCUCUUGU
rnacentral:lncRNA from 1 species